rnacentral:rRNA from 1 species
GAUGAACGCUGACGGCGUGCCUAAUACAUGCAAGUCGAGCGAACGGACGAGAAGCUUGCUUCUCUGAUGUUAGCGGCGGACGGGUGAGUAACACGUGGAUAACCUACCUAUAAGACUGGGAUAACUUCGGGAAACCGGAGCUAAUACCGGAUAAUAUUUUGAACCGCAUGGUUCAAAAGUGAAAGACGGUCUUGCUGUCACUUAUAGAUGGAUCCGCGCUGCAUUAGCUAGUUGGUAAGGUAACGGCUUACCAAGGCAACGAUGCAUAGCCGACCUGAGAGGGUGAUCGGCCACACUGGAACUGAGACACGGUCCAGACUCCUACGGGAGGCAGCAGUAGGGAAUCUUCCGCAAUGGGCGAAAGCCUGACGGAGCAACGCCGCGUGAGUGAUGAAGGUCUUCGGAUCGUAAAACUCUGUUAUUAGGGAAGAACAGAUGUGUAAGUAACUGUGCACAUCUUGACGGUACCUAAUCAGAAAGCCACGGCUAACUACGUG